rnacentral:rRNA from 1 species
GCGGCUUAAUUUGACUCAACACGGGAAAACUUACCCGGCCCGGACACUGGAAGGAUUGACAGAUUGAGAGCUCUUUCUUGAUUCGGUGGCUAUUGGAAAAACGCACAAGAAACAUACCUCCUGCUUUACAGUUCUGGUAUGACGC